GAAAAAUUUAAAUUAUAGCAACCUGAGUGCAGUGUUUAUUAAAUUCGCAACGGAAAUAGCUUAUGAGAAUUCAAAUGUUGACGACUUGCCCAAUACAGAAAUUUCUACACGAAAACCAUUGGGCAGUUACCGAGUUCUUAGAAGCGCCCGAUUAUGUAGAGUAUCCCAAUCCUGAUUAAUUUUUUUAUACUGCAGACUUCACAUAAACUAAGCGAAUAGUUUUUAUAAGUGGUGUGUUACCAAGGGCACCUAUAGGUAGUACGCUUAUCCAAAAUGGUUGGUGGAAAGGCCUUGGGGUUUGGAAAACGUUAAGAGAUUGGAAUCCUCCACCGAAAAGGUUUUCCAGUGCGGUACUUUGUUGAGAGAGCGGGUUCGUCCUUUUUAAGAAUGCGGAAAUCUUAAAGACCUCAAGCGCCCUGGUUCCUCUUGCAUCACCUCAGCAGCCGACGACCAAAGUUCAAAUUGAAUAGCAAAAGAGACACCUUACAGUCCCUGAAAUAACCGCAGAUUUUAUUUGGGGACGGCUAAGCAAAGUUUCCGUAAGUUCGUAGAAAGGCGCUUACAUCUAGCCAAUUUACACGGUCGGUGUGCUGUACGGUAGAGGGGGAACUAACAAAACGCUUUUGGGUGGACUAGAGAGCAUGAAAAUAACUGAAAUAGUGUAUUGUGGGCUGACGAAUCUAAAUAUAAAGUCUUCGGGCAAAUAUUACGUAGAAUUUUUGUUCAAAGAAACAAAGACUAAAAAUGUUAUUGGCCUGUGUAGUUCCAACAAUGAGACACGAAGGUGGCUCGUGUUUAGGAUUUUUUCUUUUUUGCCGGCCAAGGAGAUUUGGUUAUAAUUGCUGGAAUUACUCACAAAAAAAAGUCAUCUUGGGAAGCAAGACAGUGCCAUCGAGAGUGCCUUAACCGAUAAGAGUUUUUACCAUCAUGCAGGUCAAUUAUCCAAACGUUACUAGCUUGCAAAGAAGAGGAAGGUGCCCUCCAAAUCAUGACGUGGCCUUCCCAAAGUUCGGAUUUGAAUCUGAUAGAAAAAUUAUAGGAUGAACUUGAUAGAAAGGUCAGGAAAGGAUGAUGUGGGACAUUAAAAGAAAACCUGCAAAGGGCUCUCCAAAGAGAGUGGGACAAUAUCCAGCAGGAAAGUUGUAAAAUCAGUGGCAAGAAUGCCGAGAAUAGUGCGUGCGCAUUUAUCAACUUUCCCCCGGUGUCCAUUCCUUCGUGAGCGAUGGUGAAAGUUAGGAAAGAAAGUUGGAUAAGUUACCACUGGGAGUUGAAAAA